rfam:Brachypodium distachyon strain Bd21 chromosome 2, whole genome shotgun sequence.
AAACUACUCCCUCCGUCCCAUAUUAAGUGACUUUCUAUUACAUGUAUCUAGAUGCUCUUUAGGCAUAGAUGCAUCCAUAUUUGGAUAACUUUGAGUCACUUAAUAUGGGACGGAGGAAGUAUAAU